AGUCGGUGCUGCUGGAAUUACUGCACAGCUGGUGCUCCCCCCAGCACCCCGAGCAGAGCAGCAGUGCAGAUUAAAAUCUCCAAUUAGCGUUAAAGUGAAGUGAGGAGGUGCUGAGGCUGCCAAGGAGGCCAGGCGGGGGCCCUGGGUUGGCAAAACCCCCACUCUUGCCUGGAUUCUGAGUGUCACCCUUAGUCACCCCUACUUUCCCAGCUCCUCUCCCAACAGCUUUCAGUGCCCAUUAGUUUUGUAUCGCUUGGGGCCAGAGGGCUUUGCAGAGGGGUAGAAGGGGGCAAAUGCCUUACCUAAAAUGCUAGGGACACCGUAAGUAUGGAGGAGAAGGAGAGCGGUCAGUGCUCAUCAAGGGAGAUACCCUCUUCACUGCCUGCCAGGCAGCCAGGCCAAGGUGACUUCAUGCUACAGCUCUGCUCCUUCUUUUUGCUUGGAGAAAAGAUAAACAGGACAGGUCCUUUCAGGUCCUUUACCUAUAAAGUGCUAGGGGACAUGGUGCCCACAUGAACAUCUCUCUCUGCAUAUUUUAUCCUAUCUGACCCAUCUGCUCCCACCCAAGUUAUGGCUCCUUCUUCCCUCUCUCCAUUCUUCUCUCAGCUUUCCUGUGGGCAGGGGUAGGCACAGCCAGGCUUGGGAGCAUCGCCAUGCCCUGCCACCUGGGUCCCAGCCUGCUCCUCGUUAUAGUCUUCCCAGUUUGGGGAAGAGCAGUGAUAUGUCAAGAAUGGAGGCCUCAGACUCUCCCAAUCCCUGAUUUUUACAUGUCCCCCCACAAGGCCCCUCUGCCAUCUACACUUCUGCCCUUCAUCCACCAAGCCCAAAAGGAAGGCAUUAUAGCUAGCCAUGCCCUCUGACUGCCCUCUGCCCCUUUAAGGGAAAUGGAAAUGGGUACCCAGCUGACUGAACCUACUCAACACCUCCAGAAAUUAGACAUUAGGGCAUGGUGCCACCCUCCCAGGCUGGCACAUGCUACCCUGGCAGAGGAUCAAAUAACCCCCCCAUCAUACCCUGCCCCAUGUCUUCCUCUACUCUCUCCCUCAUGCUUUCUCUCUCUCUCUCUCUCUGUCUCUCUCUCUCUCAGCUCAAAGCACAGCUGAGCCUUAAAAGGGGGGUUGAGGGGGUGGAGAGACCAAGCUGGGGCAGGGGGGUAUAGAGCUCCAAUAGCACGUUUUCACCUGCCAUUUAAUUGGAUGUAUUUUUAAUUAAUGGGACCUCAGGGACCAACAUGAGACAAUCUGAUAUCUGAAUAGGGACAGGGGAGGGAUUGGGUAAGGGAGGAGGAUUGGGCCACUGGGUGCGGUUACCGGGAACCCAGGCCCAUCAAUCACUGGCCACUUUGUGUUCUGGCAUGGAGAAUAGCGAGGUGGAGGAGGGGAAGCACUGGGGAGAGGUGCCAGGAUUUCCCCCCAACUGCCAGGACCUCCAAACGGAUUGGAACUAUACUGGUUGACUCAGGUCUGGAGCCCAAAAUCACAGGCAGAAUAUGAGGUGAGGCUGUUUUCUUGCUCCUGAGGUUUUGUCUGGUUGGGCUUGUCCCAGGGAGUGCUGUAAAAUUGUGAAAGGAAGGUGGGGACAGAGCUUUGAGGUCCUUGUAGAGAGAAGACAAGAGCUAUGGACCAUAGAACCAGAGACUAUGGAGAGACGGAGGAGAAGGGCAGGGUUCAGAGAUAUUUCUGUAUAUUUUGACAUAAAAUAAGUGCCAUGGAGAUUACAUGCAAAAUGGCAUGCAAAUGAGGCCUGGUGCCUUUUGGGGUAUGAAUCAUAGAGCCUUGCUUUUGCAAGAAAGGGAACUUGGCCAGGCGCAGUGGCUCACGCCUGUAAUCCCAGCGCUUUGGGAGGCCGAAGCGGGUGGAUCACUUGAGGCCAGGAGUUCGAGACCAGCCUGGCCAACAUGGUGAAACGCCAUCUCUACCAAAAAAUACAAAAAAGUUAGCUGGGCAUGGUGACGUGUGCCUGUAAUCCCAGCUACUUGGGAGGCUGAGGUAGGAGAAUCAGCCUGGGCAACAGAGCAAGACUCUGUCUC
rnacentral:sRNA from 1 species